GAGGUCUCCAAGCAUUUUCAAAGGAAGCUAACAUGGCAGAUUGAAAAAUUUCCCGUCUUGAGGCUUCAGUGACUAAGUUUGGAGCCAGCCAGAGGAAUCUCACCAUUAAAUGUCGAGUUGAAGUGAAACACAAUACAUCACCUUCCUCGUGGGCUGCCAUUCAGCCACGAGUAACAGAGAUUAGCCUUCAAUCACACGAGGGCUGGAGCUGAAGGAAACCUUCCCGAGGACACGCUGGAGAAACAUUUUCAUUAGCAGAGGAGAACAUGACGGAGAUGAAGUGGCCCUUCACCUCGGCUGCCAGACCUCUCGCCUGCCUGGUGUUAACAGGAAUGCUAACCAAGGAGCUGGGGCCAGCUGCAGUGCUCUGAGUGCUGUCUGCAUCCAGAUCUAGGGAAUUUGUUUGGAACAUCAGAACAAAUGGCUGCUGGUUUUGAUGCAUUCUCAUGUUAAGUUACCUCUCAUGUCGCCCUCCUCCAUUUCAGAACUGAGAGCAGCCAAAAUGAGAGGAAAACAUGGCUCCUGAGCAAUUUUUCCCCCUAUGAUGCCUUCACCUUUCUUGUAUUCCCUUUUCUCCUACGAUCUCAGCUGGCUGAGUUUCACUGCCAGCCUAUUGAAAGGAAAGGCACGUGCUGGCUUGUGGAGGGAGAGAGACCUGAGACAGGAUAAAUCUGUAUGCAAUGAGAAUGGGGGGAAGCAAGUCAGCUGCUCUGACACUUUUAUUAUGGAGCCAGGCUGCUUGGGGAUGAAUCUUUCUUGAAACGUGUUGCUGGAUGACAUUUCUGCCAGGUCUCAGCAGUAACCUUCACCAAGCCUUGCUGCCCAGCCCUGUGCUUGCCUUUUCCUGGGACAAAGAGAAUGAAUAUCCACUGGAAAUGCCACAGGCAGCAGGGAUCAGUGGGGCUUAAUGCACCUCCAGUGAGUCUGAAGGCACCUGGACUUUCUCAGCAGAAGCUCUUCAGGCUUUGGUGACUUCAGCUUAUUGCUGCAUGUGUUGUUUUGCAAAGGAGGUGUGGGCUCCUACAUCUGUUUCUCACUUCAGAAUCAAAGAUGAUGUGGCAGAGACCAAAAUGAAAUUCUCCUCAGAGCUGUCCAGAAGGAUGGAUAACUGCAAGAAAAUAUUAUUCCAUGGCUCUGGAAAAGGAAUAUCUACUUGCUUAGUAACCUGGAGGUGUGAGAAUCGCCUUUGGGAGCAGCGCUUCCUUCUGCUCCUGCUCUGCCUGACCAAGGAUCAGUUCUCUCUCAUCCAUCAUCAGGACACGGCAACAGCCUCCUCCUGCCACCAGCCAGCUGCACGCCUGCAACCAGGCGAGGAGGGAUCUGGAGCUGUGGAGCCACGAGGAAGGCGAGCGAUGGCAGAUUCCUCCGGCAUUUCCACCCCGCGGGGCUCUUGGCGAGCGAGCGCUCGUGUGCUUUGAAAGCUCUUAGUGCUCCUGCAGGUGGGAGCCAAUUUGUCUGCUUUCCUGCCCAGGUGCCAUCUGUUUGUAGGAUUGCCUGUGCGGUGGAUGAGCACGGCGGGGAUGGCGAAGGGAAAAGGGCUGCUGGGGUGGGAGAGAUGAGCCUAAAACUUUCCUUGGGUAUCUUCAGCACUUCUGGCUGCCGUUGUUCCUUCUCCUCUGCACCGCGGCAGGGAAAUCACAGCCUGUCAUUUGCUGUUCCUGGAGCGUGAUGGGGAGCUGAGGCACCGCUAAUAGCGAACCAUCAUUUUAAUGCUAAUUUCCUACCAUUAGCUCAGGCUGGGGGAGGCUCAGCCUGGGUGGAGGGAAGCCAUUAACAGAUGGAGAAAGGGGGGAUGUGUGGGGAUUUGUUCUGCACCCCCAGAAGGGAUUUCCAAAGGGCAGAUGACUAACUACCACUGGGAAAAUUGGUAGGAGGCACUGGGGUCAGUCUGUGGUGGAUGUAUGGGAGGGAGGAAGAGCAUUGGCUUGUUCCAGAUCAUCUUCCUAUAGGGAUUUCUUGAGUGCUUCAGACUUUGGCUUGGAUUUGGUGUUUGCUGCUUGUUGUGUGUCCCUCUGUGCCUUGUGACCCAAGGGAUGCUCAGAGCACUGGCAGGGCUGCAGCUGGUGGCAUCGUUGUCCUUCCAACAAAGGAGACAAGCAGGGCUGGGCUUAGCCUGGACAUUGAUGUUGGGUGAUGGGCUUCAAAGCAAGUUUGAAGCUGUUCUUGAGAUACCCAAGAGCUAAUAAAAAGAACCCUGCCCUUUUGCCA
ensembl:lncRNA